UACGGAGGGGGCUAGCGUUAUUCGGAAUCACUGGGCGUAAAGCGCGUGUAGGCGGUUUGGAAAGUCAGAGGUGAAAUCCCAGAGCUUAACUUUGGAAUUGCCUUUGAAACUCCCAGACUUGAAUUCGGUAGAGGAUAGUGGAAUUCCUAGUGUAGAGGUGAAAUUCGUAGAUAUUAGGAGGAACACCAGUGGCGAAGGCGACUAUCUGGGCCGAUAUUGACGCUAAGACGCGAAAGCGUGGGGAGCAAACAGG
rnacentral:rRNA from 1 species